UACGGAGGGGGCAAGCGUUAUUCGGAAUUAUUGGGCGUAAAGGGCGCGUAGGCGGCCUGGUAAGUCAAAGGUGAAAUCCCUCGGCUCAACUGAGGAACUGCCUUUGAAACUGCCUGCUUGAGGCCGGGGAGGGGGUGGCGGAAUUCCCAGUGUAGCGGUGAAAUGCGUAGAUAUUGGGAGGAACACCAGUGGCGAAGGCGGCCACCUGGACCGGUUCUGACGCUGAUGCGCGAAAGCGUGGGUAGCAAACAGG
rnacentral:rRNA from 1 species